UGUGGGGGAGAAGCGGAGCUGAGACUUUUCCCCUCGGUCUCCUGUCCCCUGCGGCUCCCCCAGGUGCUGCCCAUGCCCCAGUGGCCAACCUGGAGGGAGGGGGCAGCGCAGGAGCGUGCGGAGCCAGCUGGGCUCCACUGUGCGCUGGCUGCAUCCAGAAGCAUGCCGCAGAGGGAGGCAGGAGCCACAGGCAGGCGAGCCCCUUCAAGUUCUCAGGGAGGAGUCAGCUUGGCGGACACAAGAAUACAGAGCAGAGGAGUCUGGGGCAGGCUGCCUCGCCUCCGGGAAGCCUAGCUGCUGAACAGCUGUCAUCCAAUGCCCGCUUUCCUCCGAGGCGCCCAGGGAGGCCAAGGGUGGCUGCCAGAGAGAACGGAGAACUGGGUCUACCUGCACAGAGCGCUCGUCCCGCCAGAGGGCGCCAGCGGGCCUCCUCUAAGGCUAACUGAGCCCCAUUCCCGAGCUUCCCCUGCAGAUGCCCCUAAAAGAAGGACCUCCUCUGGACGCGGGCUGAAUUUGGGUUCUCCGUGGGAGGUAAAUAUGAAGAAACUCAAUGUUACGGAUGGGAAACUGAGGCCUGGUAAGUUAUGCAAUUUGUAAGUGAAAGAGCCGUGAGCAUGCAGAACGGAUGGGCACAGAACAGGAAGGACUCUGUGUCCGGGGAAGCCAAAUGUUCACCUCCCCAAACUCAUCCCACACGCCAGCCUGGAUGGGAGUUCCCGGACGGUACCCCAUCCCCACCCCCGCCAGGAUCCUUCCCAGCCCUGGACCUUGAAGGAAGACCACACAGCACCCCUGACUCUACUCUCCUUCCCCUCUGUCCCUCUGCUCCCUUUGCCUUCUUUUUCCUCUGGGGACUGGAGCAUCAAGCUUCUCCAGGGUGACCUGAGCCACCCGGUGUCCGGCAGGCACAGAAGACAUGGAGAGAGCACAGGUUGCCCCUGAGCAAGCGAGGAAGACCCCGAAGGUUUAUUAUCCGCGCAGACCUGCAUCACCUCCAAGGAUUAAAGGUGUGUGCCACCAAGCCGGGCUCACAGUAACUUCCGUAUGAAUGAAAUAAAUUAACGGAAGAGCUUGAAGGUCACGGCCAUUCAAGAAGAGCUUCACCCCGUCUCCCACCUUGGAAGCCUGUCAAGAAGUGAUCAAUACCUUGUCACUUCCCAGACUGACAACUCUAGUCGGUGGCAGACAACUCAGCGCUGACCCUAGUCCAGAGCUUCUCAACCUUCCUGAUGCCGCCACCCUUUAACACAGCUCCCCAUGUUGCUGUCCUCCCCAACCGUAAGACCGUGUUCAUUGCUACUUUAUAACUGCCAUGCUGCUACUGCUGUGAAUCCUGAUGUAAACGUCUGAUAAGCAGGGUGUCUGAUACGCAACACCCAAAGGGGUCGUGACCCACAGGUUGAGAACCACUGGGUGGGGCCUAAUAUGUCACCAAGGAGCCUCUUAGCCAACCUGGGAAGUGGGUCAGCAUCCACAUCUAGGAAGAUGUAGGUGUCCUGAACAUGUGCCCUACUGGGUACUACCUGGGUCAAGGUAUAAGACAGCCUGUGAAUCACACAGCCAGGCUCAGCCUAGGGACUAUGUCCUGCACGGAUGUGUCUGGGGUACCACUGCGUAGACCCCUUCUUUUCACCUGAAGAUCCUCCCUACCCACUUUUCACAAGGAACCCCCCUCAUCCGUUGGCUCCCGGCACAGCCAGCCAACCACACAUGCUACCCUGGGAAUCAUGGGGCCCGUGCCACCUCCUGUAUCUCUUGAAGCCAUCCCUCACUAUCCAGACUCCCCCAAGAAAGUUCCAGGCCAUCCAGGGCUGUACAGAGACACAGAUCUGACUCCGGUGGGACUGGGGACCGUGAAACCCAGAGAAGUCUUCUUCUCUAGACACAGGGCUGUCCCCAAGACCAGACCGUGUCUCCAACCUGCAGAACCUGGGUUCUGAACACUGUGGGUUGUGAAGUCCUGCCCCUCUUGACUCUUCCCGCCACAAACCAGGAUGCUCUCAGCCACAGCUGGAGGGGACUUGAAACACACGGCGCAGAAGCAUAGAAAGUGUGGGACAUGCCUCCUCACGCCUUGUCUCAUGUGAUACCUGCCAGGGACAACUGAGGACAGAUGGAGAGGAAUCUACAAGGGGACAGGAGGGAUUCUGCUCCUAUUCUGUCACUGAUUUUACUCUGGUUUCUGAUGAAGCCCCUUGCCCUCCAUAGGCUUCCAAACGGCCAUUGAUGACUAAGAGCCUCAGACACUGGGUGACCUCCCAUGGCUGGAGAAAUGGCUGACCUUCCCCACUCCUCCAUGUCCCUUCUCAGGCAGAGAGGCAGAGACAAGUGGCACCACCUCCAAACUGACCUUGCCACUCAUGGUCCCCAAAAUCUCACUCCUGCCCCCUAACCACAGCCCCUCCCUUCAGAACCUGGCCUCCCACAGCCGCAGGAAAGGAUUUUAAGGAGGAUGCUUCCCUCAGCUUCACACAGGGUGGAGGAUAGUAUGGGAUGGGGUGGUGAUGGGGGAAGUCCUUCUAUGUAUAUAUUGAUGAAUAAAGCACUGUUGGCCAA